rnacentral:tRNA from 1 species
GCCGAAGUGGCGGAAUUGGCAGACGCGCCGGUCUCAAAAACCGGUGAGUUUUACUCGUGCCGGUUCGAUCCCGGCCUUCGGCACCA